rnacentral:rRNA from 1 species
CAGUCGCCGCGGUAAUACGAAGGGGGCUAGCGUUGCUCGGAAUGACUGGGCGUAAAGGGCGCGUAGGCGGUGGCCAAAGUCAGGCGUGAAAUUCCUGGGCUCAACCUGGGGGCUGCGCUUGAUACUUGGUUGCUUGAGUGAGGAAGAGGGUCGUGGAAUUCCCAGUGUAGAGGUGAAAUUCGUAGAUAUUGGGAAGAACACCGGUGGCGAAGGCGGCGACCUGGUCCUUGACUGACGCUGAGGCGCGAAAGCGUGGGGAGCAAACAGGAUUAGAUACCCCCGUAGUCCCUGUCUCUUAUAC